GGUUAAGCGACUAAGCGUACACGGUGGAUGCCCUGGCAGUCAGAGGCGAUGAAGGGCGUGCUAAUCUGCGAUAAGCGCCGGUAAGGUGAUAUGAACCGUUAUAACCGGCGAUACCCGAAUGGGGAAACCCAGUGUGACUCGUCACACUAUCAUUAACUGAAUCCAUAGGUUAAUGAGGCGAACCGGGGGAACUGAAACAUCUAAGUACCCCGAGGAAAAGAAAUCAACCGAGAUUCCCCCAGUAGCGGCGAGCGAACGGGGAGGAGCCCAGAGCCUGAAUCAGCAUGUGUGUUAGUGGAAGCGUCUGGAAAGGCGCGCGAUACAGGGUGACAGCCCCGUACACAAAAGCGCAUGUGCUGUGAGCUCGAUGAGUAGGGCGGGACACGUGGUAUCCUGUCUGAAUAUGGGGGGACCAUCCUCCAAGGCUAAAUACUCCUGACUGACCGAUAGUGAACCAGUACCGUGAGGGAAAGGCGAAAAGAACCCCGGCGAGGGGAGUGAAAAAGAACCUGAAACCGUGUACGUACAAGCAGUGGGAGCACCCUUUGGGUGUGACUGCG
rnacentral:rRNA from 1 species